rnacentral:lncRNA from 1 species
CUUCCUUCCUGUUACCUCAGAUAAAAUAUUUAGGAGAAAGGAUUACCGGCAUGACAAUAAGGCUCAUUAUUUUCAGAAGCUUGUAACUAUGCAGGAGAAUUUAUAUGUACUUCUGUGUGAUGAAGAAUUGGAUGCAGUCUCUUUGGAAGCUGUGCACCAACAAAAGAUGAAGAAUAGACAAGCCCACUCUUCAUCAGGUAACAAAUCUGGCAUCUGAUCACAAUUGAUGGCUGGUUUAUCAUCUACAAGGAACCAUGCCAAUAUUGUGUUAAAAGUUUUAACAAAAUUAACUG